rnacentral:rRNA from 1 species
GCUUAACACAUGCAAGUCGAACGAAGAGCGAUGGAAGCUUGCUUCUAUCAAUCUUAGUGGCGAACGGGUGAGUAACGCGUAAUCAACCUGCCCUUCAGAGGGGGACAACAGUUGGAAACGACUGCUAAUACCGCAUACGAUCUAAUCUCGGCAUCGAGGAUAGAUGAAAGGUGGCCUCUACAUGUAAGCUAUCACUGAAGGAGGGGAUUGCGUCUGAUUAGCUAGUUGGAGGGGUAACGGCCCACCAAGGCGAUGAUCAGUAGCCGGUCUGAGAGGAUGAACGGCCACAUUGGGACUGAGACACGGCCCAGACUCCUACGGGAGGCAGCAGUGGGGAAUCUUCCGCAAUGGACGAAAGUCUGACGGAGCAACGCCGCGUGAGUGAUGACGGCCUUCGGGUUGUAAAGCUCUGUUAAUCGGGACGAAAGGCCUUCUUGCGAAUAGUGAGAAGGAUUGACGGUACCGGAAUAGAAAGCCACGGCUAACUAC